GACUGUGAUGUGGAAAUGUGAGC
rnacentral:piRNA from 1 species